UACGUAGGUGGCAAGCGUUGUCCGGAUUUAUUGGGUUUAAAGGGUGCGUAGGCGGUUCUAUAAGUCAGUGGUGAAAUACUCCGGCUCAACCGGAGAGGUGCCAUUGAUACUGCAGAACUUGAGUACAGACGAGGUAGGCGGAAUUGACGGUGUAGCGGUGAAAUGCUUAGAUAUCGUCAAGAACACCGAUAGCGAAGGCAGCUUACUAGACUGUAACUGACGCUGAGGCACGAAAGUGUGGGGAUCAAACAGG
rnacentral:rRNA from 1 species